CAGUCGCCACGGGAAAACCAGCACCUCGAGUGGUCAGGAGGUUUAUUGGGCCUAAAGCAUCCGUAGCCGGUUGCAUAAGUUUUCGGUUAAAUCUAUGCGCUCAACGUAUAGGCCGCCGAAAAUACUGUGCAGCUAGGGAGUGGGAGAGGUACACGGUACUCAGUAGGAAGGGGUAAAAUCCUUUGAUCUAUUGAUGACCACCUGUGGCGAAGGCGGUGUACCAGAACACGUUCGACGGUGAGGGAUGAAAGCUGGGGGAGCAAACCGGAUUAGAUACCCCAGUAGUCCCUGUCUCUUAUAU
rnacentral:rRNA from 1 species